rnacentral:rRNA from 1 species
UACAGAGGUCCCGAGCGUUGUUCGGAUUCACUGGGCGUAAAGGGUGCGUAGGUGGUGACGUAAGUCGGAUGUGAAAUCUCGGAGCUUAACUCCGAAACUGCAUUCGAUACUGCCGUGCUUGAGGACUGGAGAGGAGACUGGAAUUUACGGUGUAGCGGUGAAAUGCGUAGAUAUCGUAAGGAAGACCAGUGGCGAAGGCGGGUCUCUGGACAGUUCCUGACGCUGAGGCACGAAGGCCAGGGGAGCAAACGGG